rnacentral:lncRNA from 1 species
AAAAAUUGCCAAAAGAGUCAAAAAUAAAUAAAAAUAAUAAAAAAAUAAAAUUAAUUUUAAAUUAAAAAAUAAAAACGAAAAUGAUAUUAAAAAACCUAACAAAAAAUAAAAAAUUAAUUAUUUAGACUUUUUUUAGUAAAAUAAUAAAAUAAAAGGAAUGAUAAUAAGUUUUGGACCCGCAACUCUAUACUUAAACUCC